AAAAAAAAAAAGGCAUUAAACUAAUGAAUCAAAUCGCACUGCAUUAGGGAAGCAAAUCCUUAUUUGGAAUGAGGCAAUUCACAUGAGCCCAAUAUAUUCAUCUCAGCCCACAUCAUGAAGGUUCAGCAAAAACUCCACAAUGCUCAAAUCAAAGCUUCAGCCCUGGGUGAUGGUGAGUACAAAAAUCAGAAUCACCGUACCAAGAGAGAUGGUUCAACAUUGCAUGGUUUGACUAAGGAAGCAAAAGCAAAAAGGGACAGUUGGCAACACUAUGAAGAACGAGGGACAGCAAGGACAUAAGGACAGCACAAGAUCAAACUGCAGAAGAUCAUUAGCAAAGUUGGGUAGAACAAAACAAAAAUGCAGAGCAACGGGCAGCUAUUGUAAUGGUGCAAAAUGGAAAAGAAAGCACGCCAGGAAAAGGACAGCUACAACGGGCAGAAUCAGCAAAGAAAAA